rnacentral:lncRNA from 1 species
AAGCCCAAAAUGGGACUACCUUUUUGAGCCCAAUACCCUUAAAUCCACAAAAGCCUAAUUUCCUAAUAACCCUAAGCUUCAAGACCCCUGAUCUGAUCUUCUUCUUAAAAACCUUAAGAGACUUUGAACACCCCGAAGCUAGCGGCGACCCUUGGAGAAUCGAUCAAUUCUCUCAAUUUUGAGAGUUGUGAUCGAGAUACAGAGAACAUAAAAAACCAGCAACCUCACACGAACCAACGACCCCUUCUUCUUGACCCCCUGAAACUCUUCACCCCUACACAAAAAUCAGAUGCCACCAGCCGCACACCCCACCUCAACGAACUCCAGCAGCAACGACUAACCUUCACUCGCCAGAAGCAGCACCCACUCAAAUCCGACCACACACACACACGCAGAUACACAGAGAAAGAAGAUGGGGGGAUUUUUGGUUUCUGAAUUUUUCUUUUCUGAUUUAAUGUCUUAGUUUAGAUAUAAAGAAUCAGCUCUAUUAGAUUUCACAAUCAAAAAUACAAAAAAACUUUGGUUUCUUCUGUUGAUUUAGAUUUCAAAGAUGGAGUUCGUUUGAAGUAUUUGAUCCGGAGUUCCGUCUGAAGUUGGAAUCUGCCGAGGAGAACAUUUCUGCUUUUUCAUUUGGUUCUGAUUUUUGGUUUUCGAGUAUGUGAAUGGAGUUAAGUCGAGGUUGAUUCGAGUUCAUACCCGAUGAUAGAUUCGUCAUAUUUUCGAUUUCAAAACCAUGAAUCAAUCAAAUUUCAGAUUCAUUGAGGUCUAUUUCUUCCUUUCCUAUUCCGUUUUUGCUUAAUAUCAUGUUUUUACUAGUUCACUAAUUUGUCAUUGCCCUGUUUCGCUAAAUAUUAAAUUGAUGCUUCUUUGCUCUGUUUUGGGAUACCUUGGCUACAUUUGUUUACUCCAUUCUGUUGCAGGUCAUUGUUUGUGCAUUUAUUUUGGUUUAAUCCGUUCAGAGUUUUGAUGGCUAGAAUAAGUUUUUUUUGAUUCCAUACUUUAUUGCUUCAUUAAGAGAUAAUUAUUUUAGGCUUCACAAUUACUACUUUGAUAACAAAAGAAUUAAGUCAACGAAAUUGAGUAGAUUAAUUAAUUGCUUGGAUGUUUGAAAGGUCUUAGGCCGUAGGAGUGGGGAGAUAUUAGUCCAUCAGUAAUUAAUUUUAUUGAUAUGCUUUAGGUAUCGAGCUCGGCCUAAUAAAAUGAAAAGCUAAAAACGAAACAUGAGCACGAUUUAGAAUUUUCUUUUACCUUAUUUAGUUUUCUUUCAUUUGUUUAUUUAACUACAUUGUCCGCUAAGAGCAUGCUUAGGUCAUCAUUAUUCGGGUAGGCAAAUCGUAGGUCGCUUCUUUUAUUCGAGGCAAGAGGUCGCUUCCUUUAGUUUAUUAUCCAGGGAAUGCCCCAUAGACUUUGUAUAUAUAUUUUAUCCGGGGUAUGCCCCAUAGUAUCGUGUAUUUGAAGGCCGUGUUUAUUUUCGCUUUUGUGUGUUUCUACCUCGAUCUGAGUAUUCUUUAAAAGCCAACUUGAUCAUCUAUGCAACUGUACCAGUUACGCGACUCGGAGAAUGCCUAACACCUUCUCCCUGAGUCAAAUGAACCCCCUAACCUUGAAUCUCUGGUGCAAACUGGUUUAAGAGUCAAAUGUGUUUUGAAGGGAAAUUGUUAUUUAAAAAAAACGGUAACCUGGCACACCAAAAUCAAAUGUCAGGUGGCGACUCUGAAAAUCCUUCGAAACACAAUCUUUUUGUCACUUUCAAUUUGGAAAAUCCUUUUGAGCUUCCACAAUCACUUUAUUUAUUUAAAGAGGGUUAAGUAAAAAAGGGGUGUGACAGCUCUGGCGACUCUACUGGAGAGUUGCAGGUUCAAGCUGAUACUACGAUCUUGUUGGCUUUUUAGAAUAUUCGGUUGAGGUUUUUAUGUUUUUAUUAGCUUUAUCUGAUUUUUAUUAUGUUUUUAUACUUUGUUAUUAUUUUCUAGUUGUUUAUAUGUUUACAAUUUUCUUUUUAUGCAUUUACUGCUUUAUAACUAUCAUCAUUUGCAUAACCCCGGGUCUUUUUUCUGUAACAAGUCUUCUGGAGUACGUUUGAGCGUACACGGCCUUUUUGUGAGUCACAUGUGUCUUUAGGGGAGUGGCAUGAGAUCAUGGAGUGGGCGGACAGCUAAAGCCACCAUCAUCGACCACGUGUCUGAAUUGCCUUGUCUAGUGAACCCCAAACGUAGGUCAGCCUUUAGGUCAUGCUUAUUUGCAUCAUAUCAUUUAAACCUAGCAGGGCUCGGUCCCAGGCACCGUGUCUCGUUGUCGGAGGCCUAUCCAAAUUAUGUCAAAAUGGGCCUGUGGCCCAAAAAAACAUUUAAUCAUCCCUAUGUGCUACAUGCUACAUGCUACAUUUUUUUAGGGUAAGUGGGUCAUUUGGCGAACCAAUGAGGUAAAAAGAGUUUGAGGUAUAAAAUGAAGCAAGUAGGGCCACUCACUUUUUUUCUUUCACGAUUUUCCCAAAAUCUAAAAAAAAGGAAAAAAUAAAGGCCGGACCCCAAAGCCAAGAACCCCCCGGUCUUCCUAGUGAGUCUUAGGUUCUUGGUUUUGAGGGUUGUAGCCAAAUCUAGCAUGCCUAGCCACUUUUGGCCACAUCGGUUGUUUUUGCAAAAUAUGGCUAUUUUCUCUAAGUAGUUUGUUAUCACAUGUCUUGAAGCCCUGAGUCUACAUCAAUGUGUCCUCUCAGUUUUAAGGUCCAUUCCUGUUGAAUUUGCAUGUCUAGCCAUGCAUCGGCCAUUCUUGCAAAAUGGGGUCAUUUUCGCAAAAGUGGUUCAACGACCCAUGUCUUAGGAUCUUGAGUCCACAACUAGGCGUCAUAUUACUUUAAGGUCCGUCCUUGUUGAAUUUGCAUCUCUAGUCGUGUUUGGCCAUAUCGACAUUUUCACAAAAUGGGUUAUUUUUGCAAAGUAAUUUCUAGGGCCAUAAUUAUUGGGAGCUUGAAGCCAUAUAAGCCUUAGUGAGGUAUUUCCAUGUAUUUGAGGUCACCUUUGUUGAGUUUGCACUAAUAGCCACCUUUGGCCAUGUAGGCCCAAUCACGUCUUGCAUGUGUCCAAUAGGAGGUGUUGUGGCGUCGCAUUGUGUCUCGAGUCACUAACUCAAUUUGGUCUUAUUUGUCUCAUUUUGAUAUGGAUCAGUAAACUAGAGCUCGAGCAUGACAGAUACCCCGGGACCAUCGUAUUUGGGAGCUUGUUUGAAGAGACUUUUUAUAUUUUUGAGUAUGUGCAUGUUUUCUUUUACUUUCUUGUCUUGUCUAGUAGUUUUGAGUCUUUUAGGUGGUGUAAGAGUUUGUCAAGUCUUUUGUCGUUGCACUUCCUAUUUGUAUUUGCAAAUAAAUAGUUAUAAAUGAAAAAUCCAAAAAGAUUUUUAAUUUUUAAUUUAUUUUGUCCAUUACUUUUCCAGAACUACGCUUGGUCUGAUUCAUGUGGAACAUGAUAUGUAGACAACCUACAUAGGGUUCAAUCGAAUCAUUAUGAAAGAAAAAAAAAGAAGAAAAAAAGAGAAUGAAGUUAUGGGAUGUGAGAAAUGAGAGGAAAGAAAAGAGUGGUAAUAAGAAAAGAAAAGAGAGGAAAGAAAAUGAGCAAGCCAAGAAGUGCUAGAAAAGAAAAGAAAAGAGAAGAUUGAAAUGAACAAAAUUGGGAUGAUGCCAAAUGACCUUAUGACCCAUGAAGUCAUUAUAGAACUAUUAAUUGUUGCUAGGUGCAUUGCAUGCAAUGUGAUAUUUCUAUCUGAUAAAUGCCCUAACGCUAACAUGUUGGCAUUGUUUUGCUCCUCUUUGGUACUUUAAUUGUUAUCAUAACAGAAGGUGGUUAGUUUGUGGCAUUCUAGCGAGUCAUCCAUACAACACAAGGUCAAAGAGCAAGUAGCCAUGGCCAGCAAAGACUUGGACACAGGUAUUAUCGAUCCGCCUAAGGAGAUUGUUGAAUUAGAAUCUGAGUUGAAAGAAGAGGUCUUAAGGUUGAUAGGGAAAAUGGCCGAAAUGUACCAAGCCUGGAUUAGUGGGCGUCCUCCACCAUUAUUUCCUACUAACUACACUGAAAACCUCAUCACCAAUCUGCCAUUGUCACAAAUUCAGAUUCCCACUACUGCUGAUAUCUCCCUACAACCUUUUCACACUCCACCCCCUAAAACCACAUCAUAUCCCGCUCCUUUGACCACUUAUGUUUUUGUAGCUCCUCCACCAGCUAUUCUUCCUCGAUCCUAUAGAGAGACUGUGUUCGAAGUCCCUGAUGCCCAACACUAUGCUCCAUAACUAAUCUUCAAGGUCUCAGAUCCAUACUCUUAUACUCUUCAUUUUGAGCCUCUCGGUGAAACUGCAAAGCCUGCUAAGAAAGAAGAGCGAUAUGAGAUAUCAGAAAGUUGAAAGGUAUAGAACAAUCUUUCAAGAACAUACAAGGGGUGGGAAAUAAUAUGUCUUACAAUGACUUGUGUAUGUUCCUAGAUAUUCAUCUGCCUGCGGGGUUUAAAAUGCCAAAACUUAACUUAUAUGAUGCGCGUGGAGAUCCAGUAGCCCAUAUGAGGGGUUAUUGUAGUGAAAUGAGAAGUGUUUGCGAGAAAUAUAAAUUGUUGAUGGUGUAUUUCUGUAAGAGUUUGAGUGGGGAAGCCUUGGAGUGGUAUACUCGUCAAGAUGUCAAUAAGUGGCAUGCAUGGGGUGACAUGGCUCAAAAUUUUAUUCGGCACUAUCAAUACAAUGUAGACAUUAUCCCAGACUACUCCUUCCUAUCUCAUAUGGAAAAUAAACCCAAGGAAAGUUUUAGGGAGUUUUGGUUUAGAUGGAACGAACAAGUUACUCGGGUUAGUUCUCCGAUUGAUAGAAAAGAUGUUGCUGAGCUCUGCGAAUGACAGGAUCCAGUGGGUAUUCCUACUAAACAUUCUCAGCUUCAUCCCCAACCCCAAACUUAUCCCCGAGCUCCAUAUAAUCCUAUCCAGUAUUAUCCAACGUAUAAUGUCCAAUCAUUAGUUCAACCACUGGGUCACUCCUUAUGGCGAGCACUAGCACUGCAAAAUACUCGUGCGCCUUCACAACAUUUUUAGGCACCCUAUAACCUUAAAAUACAUAGUCAUGGAGGGAAACAAAGGUAGAAAGAUAAUUUCACACCAAUAUAGGAAUCCUACACAAACUUGUUUGAAAGGUUAAAACAUUCUGGCUUGAUUGAGCCGCUCCUCGGCUAUACUCCAGACCCAUAUGCAAAAGGUUUUGAUCCUACUGUACCGCUCUAAUGUCCAAGGCCAUAGCAUUGAAGAUUGUCCUACUUUGAAAAGGGAAAUAUAAAGAAUGAUUCAAGAAGGGAUAAUUGUGGUCCAAGGAAGUAAUACCCCAAGUGUCACACACAAUCCUCUAUAGGUACAUGACAAUUCACACAUUGUUGGGAUGGUUUGCAAUGAUGAAGGGUUGGUCAAAGGAGUCAAUGAGCCACUUGGUGAAGACAAUAUGAUUGAAGUUGGUGAAGGUCCCAGUAAUAUUGAUGGGGAACUCAGUGGCUAAGAUGUCGAGCUUGGUGAUUGGAAAGACACUCCUUUCUUGGUUAGCCAAGAAGGAGUUUUGGUGGUUUAUUUUGUUGUCAUUUCUGUCAUCCGGGUUAUUUCAGGAUUGUAAUCUGGAUAUGGUUUUGUAGCUUAAACCCUUCUUCUUCUUAUUUUUCCUAGUUCGUUUUAUUGUAGUAACUCGUCUAGUGUUAUCUAGUAUUAUUCCAGAGUUGUAACCCAUGUCUAUUUUGCUUGUUUUGUUGUAACCCUUUUCACCGUCUGUCUAAUGCAAUCUCCUAUUUUCUGUUAGUUCUAGUCAGUUUUGUUUAGGUCACUUUUCCUUUUAUAGUUCUUUUCAUGAUGACUCUAGUGACACGACAUGCAAGCAUAAUUCUCAGCCCGGUCUUGAAAGUUAGUUUAAUCAUGAAGUAAUGACACAGUUUUGAAUAUGAUAAAAGGAUGAAUUUGAGGAAAUAAGUAAAGAUUCAUGCAUUUUGAGAUAACCUGAAGCUUGAACUGAGUGAAACUGAGGCAGUUAGCCUGGGAAAUCAAGAGGUUGAUAAGAGCAUACAACAAGAAAAUGUCUCUCAAGCAGUUUGAGGUAGAUCAGUCAGUGCUGAAAUGCAUUCUUCCACAUCAAGAUAAGGUUGAGUCAAGUCUGCUUCGAACUGGAAAGAGUCAUUCAUUGGGACAAAGGUAUUGCCCAUUGACACUUUUUGUUUAUGCUGAUGCCAUCAAUAGAUAAUAUGUAUGAUUUCUUUGCUUAUCUUCGAUUGCAUGUUUAUGCUUGGCAUUCUUAAAGUUUGGUAUGACGAAGGCAUUUUAUUUUGCUACACAAAUACUUUUAUCUUUUGCUACCCUUUUGAAGCCUUAAUUUAUUUUGUUUCAUACUCCUCUUUUGGAAUCAGAAGUAGAGUUAGGAACUAGAAAAGAAAAAGAAAAAGAGAAAAACAAGAAAAAAAAGGAAAAGAAAAAAAAGGAAAAAGAAAGAAAGAAAAAAAAGGAAAAGAAAAACAACAAAAUAAUCCAACUUUGUGUUUGAACUACGUUCGACCUGAUUCCUUAUAAGGAUACGUAGGCAGCUUUACUCUGAGGUUCGGUCCUAUCAAAGCAAAAAUCAAAAAAAUUCCCCAGACCCCAGGAAACUGGGGCAGAAGUUUUAAUUUUGGCUAAAAGAUCUGAUUCCCAAAAGUUGUAAUUUUGAACCCUUUCAUCAUAAAUUAUUUUGAGCCUUCAUGCCACCCUUUCUUUCCAAGCACGUCCAAAAGCCUACAUUACGGUCCAACGAAAGACCUUCCAACCAAUCUUUGAGGAUGUCAAAUCAAGUAUGUGGUGAAAGUAUGAUCUUCCUACAUCAUGGGUAAUACCUCUGUUCUUAGCACAAAGAGAGAAAAUGAUAAAAUGAGAGAGUCUUAACGGUAAAAACCCUCAUGGGCACCGUAAGGCGACGGUAAGUUGAGAAAGGAGCAAAAUGAGAGAGGUUUGAUGGUGAAAACCCUUCAAGGCACUACAAGUCAACUAAGGAUUGUGGAUCAAAUAGGACAAUUGGAGCGUUGAAGCCCAGUUUCACAUCUUAGAGGCAUAACAAGAGUUAAAGAUUAAACUCGCUUGACAGAUUAGGUCGCUUAAUCCAAAAUGCAUGUCAUGGUCAGUGGAGAUAGCCUUCAAAUCAUGUUAGUUCCUACUUUGUUCUUUUUUCUGGGUAAAAGUUUUUUUUCUUGUUAGAUACCAUCUCUUCUAAUUUUUUCUCCUUAUUUUGUUCCUCUUAUUUUGUUUGAGUCCCUUUUGAAUCUGUUUUGAUCGAAACAAGUGAGAAAUAACAUCAAAAUCUGCUACCAGCUUUUUAAUCACAUGAAGCCAAUGUCUGGAAAGCACAUCAAAUUGGCAUAAGACGCAUGACAAUAUUGGGUGCACUGAGUUGGUGAUAACAGAUGUUCUUUGGGAUUGAGGUAUAAUGCAAAUAUUUGGUGAAUGUUAGAACACGAGUGCAAUGUAUCGGGCAUAAGGUAUUGGAUUUGAACGAAUCCGGAAUAGUUUUUGUGAUAAGGGUGGUCUAGAAAAGCGGUUGGCCGAUAGCAAGCAAUGUCUUCCAAGUUAAAAUCCAAGUUGAUCAUGACAAGUGCAAGAGAAAUCUCCCUCGUAGUCAAGGCCACAAACUAACCGCCACAUUUUAGACUCACAAGUUUUCUUUAUUUGAAAUAUGAAUAAAGCAGUGCAAGCAAGUUGGUUCAAAAACAAAAAAACAAAAAAAGAAAAGAAAGAAAAAAGAAAAAAAGAAGAUAAGAGCCAACAAAGGGAAGUUUCUCAAAUUUUUUCCUUUAUCUGUCUUGCUUGUGUGCAUAAAAUGUUGCCAUUGCUCUUCACAUUUUUCCUCCUAGGAUAAAANNNNNNNNNNNNNNNNNNNNNNNNNNNNNNNNNNNNNNNNNNNNNNNNNNNNNNNNNNNNNNNNNNNNNNNNNNNNNNNNNNNNNNNNNNNNNNNNNNNNNNNNNNNNNNNNNNNNNNNNNNNNNNNNNNNNNNNNNNNNNNNNNNNNNNNNNNNNNNNNNNNNNNNNNNNNNNNNNNNNNNNNNNNNNNNNNNNNNNNNNNNNNNNNNNNNNNNNNNNNNNNNNNNNNNNNNNNNNNNNNNNNNNNNNNNNNNNNNNNNNNNNNNNNNNNNNNNNNNNNNNNNNNNNNNNNNNNNNNNNNNNNNNNNNNNNNNNNNNNNNNNNNNNNNNNNNNNNNNNNNNNNNNNNNNNNNNNNNNNNNNNNNNNNNNNNNNNNNNNNNNNNNNNNNNNNNNNNNNNNNNNNNNNNNNNNNNNNNNNNNNNNNNNNNNNNNNNNNNNNNNNNNNNNNNNNNNNNNNNNNNNNNNNNNNNNNNNNNNNNNNNNNNNNNNNNNNNNNNNNNNNNNNNNNNNNNNNNNNNNNNNNNNNNNNNNNNNNNNNNNNNNNNNNNNNNNNNNNNNNNNNNNNNNNNNNNNNNNNNNNNNNNNNNNNNNNNNNNNNNNNNNNNNNNNNNNNNNNNNNNNNNNNNNNNNNNNNNNNNNNNNNNNNNNNNNNNNNNNNNNNNNNNNNNNNNNNNNNNNNNNNNNNNNNNNNNNNNNNNUCUAAGUCUGAUGAAUCUUUCUCCUAAUAUAACAAAAAAGGGACCUAGUCUGAUGAACUUUCUCCUAGGAUCAAAAUCUUAGUCUGAUGAAUUUGCUCCUAGGAUCGAAAUCUUAGUCUGAUAAAUUUUUCUCCUAAGAUAGAAGACCUAGUCCGAUGAACUUUCUUAUAGGAUAGAAAUCUUAGUCUGAUGAAUCUUUCUCCUAAGAUAUCAAAAAAGAGACCUAGUCUGAUGAACUUUCUCCUAGGAUCAAAAUCUUAGUCUAAUGAAUCUUUCUCCUAACAUUAAAACUUAGUCUGAUGAAUUUUCUCCUAGGAUAAUAAUUUUUUUAAAAAAAGGGAAGUCUGGAUUUGAAAAAAUGGUCAAUUUUUAGUUUUCUUAAGUUAUUAAUCUUUAGUUUUCUUGAAAUCAGGGAUCUCUCCUGGAGAAUAUGGUCAGUUUUUACUUUAGUCAAGCUUAGCUUAUAGUUUUCCGCAAGCUCAAUCUUAAAUCUAGGAGACGCACUUCCAAGUCUGGUUCAUUCAGGUUUUAUUCUUAGCAGACGCACUUUUCAGUCAAAUAUUCUUGGUUUUACUCACAGGAGACACACAUCCUAGUCAAGUCUUUAGUUUUACUCUCAUCAUUGCAUCAAUAGCAUAGGUGAUUUACAGUUUUGCUAAUAACUCACAAAUCUUCCUAGUACAAACUAGAGCAGAAAGUUUUGUUUGUUUUGUUAUUUUGAUUGCAGGCACCCACCCGGAGAACAAGGAAAUUCUUUUUAGAGUUACUUCAAAUUUCAAGUCAGUAGCAGGUGCCCACCUGAAGAACGAGAGAAUUCAUUUUAGAAUUCAAUUAAAGUUAGAAGUAGCAGAAGCUCGCCUCAACAAUGCGAGUCAACAAUCCGAGAUGACCAAAAGAAGAAGUCUCAAUCCAGAAUGAAAAAAGAGAGAAGUAAAUCCAAAUGCAGAUGUAGAUGAAAUAUGUGAACUGCUCAAGACAUGGUUAAAGUUACGAGCACUGCAUGUCCGAUCUUGAUCUGAAGAAGUCGUGGAAGAAUGAAUCAGCACCAGCAGCUAGCAAGCAUCAGAGUUCAAAUCAAAAGUCUGCAUGAAGAACCAUUCAAGAUUCAAGAUCAAGCUUCAGUAGACUUAUAGAUAGGAAUCUUGUAACUCAUAGCUGAUAGGCUUGCUCAGUUCUUUUAGAUUUUAUUUUGAUGUAUAACAGGACCGCAGACCGGAACCUCGGCGGAACGGUAUCUCACUCGACUCUUUCAUCCUCUCCACACACUCCAUCAUUUCAUUUACUUCUGAACUAUACGUGACCUGAUUCCCUUAUAACCCGGGAUAUAUUGGCAGUUCAAAACCAGGAGUCAGUCACAUUUUCCUUUCUUUUAGUUCUCUUCUCUUUUCCUUUAUAUAAGGGUCAGGCUAAGAACAUGUCUUGUCGUUCUUUAUCUGAAAACUCUUCAAGUUUUCAGUCAAAGAGGGGCAGCUGUAGAGAUGAAAUUUUUGACCUUCUUCGAGAUUUUACACAUUUUAGCAUUUAAAUAUUUAGUUUAGAUCUAAUAUCACUAUUUUAAUUAGUGUUGACUCUUUUACUUUAUUUUAUCACAAAAAUAAAAAUUACAAAAAUAUUUUCUUUUAUUUAGCUAAUUGAUAUUUUAUCUAGUUACUUUUAGUUUAUCUACCUUUCAUAAAAUUAUAAAAAAUAGUAUUGAUAUUUUAUUUUUCCAAAAAAAAAGGAAUUAAUUUUUGGAUUAAUUCUUGUCUUGUCUCCAUGUCAUAAGACCAAUAUUUUGAUCCAAAUUUGAAGCCCAAAAUGGGACCACCUUUUUGAGCCCAAUACCUUAAACCCACUAUCACGACCCAAACCGAUGGACCACGACGGGCACCUGGUACCUUACUCAACCGAGUACCAACAUAACGUAUCUUUCAUAUCAUUCUAUUAUAGGUAAAUGAACCAGAGUAAAGCAUUAGGGAAUACAAAGUUAUACAUAUGAAGUACGGGCCUAUAAGGCCGGUAUAAUUCUUUAUAUACUCGAAACAUAGGCCGAAAAGGCCAUACAAGUAUCCGUAUGCAUAUAUGUCUUCAAGCCUCUAAGAAUAUAUAAUAUCAUAAAGGUCGGGACAGGGUCCCGCCAUACCAAUCAAUACAUGUACUAAUCAUACUGACCAAAGAAGCAACUCCGGAACAAAUGGAGCGCACCAACACCUUCCGCUGAGCUGAUAGCCUACUUGGAGGACUCUCGACCUGUCUAUCAGGACCUGCAGGCAUGAAAUGUAGCAUCCCUAGGCAAAAGGGACGUCAUCACAAAUAAUGUACCGAGUAUGUAAGGAAUGAAAAUCAGUAACUAGCAGACAUGAGAGAAACAUGGAGUGAAAGACUCAACAUGUAUAUCUGAAUAACUCUGUGAAUCAUUUAAUAUUAUAAUGUCGUGCAUAUGCGAAUAAAUGUCAUACCAUGCAUGGGUAUAUGCGUUCAUAACAUCAUCAAGCCUCUGAGGGCAUCCCAUCAUAUCAUCUCGGCCACUGUGGGCAAAUCAUCAACGUAUAUCAGCUGAUCAAGUGAUGAUGUGUAUAUAACGCCAUAACCUUUUCUCAUAUCCUAUAUACAUAUAUAUACAUAUAUACACGUAUAUAACACCAUCAGGUUAUGGGUCAAUGUACAUGAAUGCAAUGCAUGAAAAGUACGUCAAUAAAAUCUCUUGGAGUGUCAUAAGACCAUUUUGCCUUUGAAUAAUAUCAUGAAGUAAACUUUUUCAACUUACGUAUUUUUCUGAGACCCAUGAACAGAUGAUAGUAUAAUAUGGCACACGGGGAAUCAAGAACAUAAGCAUCUCUAAUAUUUCUAUGAAUAGAUUCAUGUAUGAAAAUUAUGCAUUUGCAUGUUUCGUUUGUAUCGUAUGGAUCAUGCCAAAAGAAAGAAGGGACAUCCUUAACAUACCUGAGUUGAUUCUCUUGACAAUCCCUCUAACACAAGUCUAUUGUAACAAAACACGUAACGACGGAUCGAGUAGGGAAAAAUUCAUAUAAUAUUCUUGAGAAAGAUUGUACCUUACUCCCUUAGAAUCGUAAAAUCCCGCUGCUAUAAUAUUACGUAGUAUAAUUUCGUACGAAGAUUUCUUGGCUGAAGAUCUGUUAAAUUUGUAGAUGUAGAACACCUCCAUUUUGGUGAAUUUGAUCCAAAUUUUGGAUGGCUUUUCCUUGCUGAAGCAAGUCACGCUUUCCAUCUCAUAUAUUUGUAAAUUUAAGACUUUAGUGGCUUAGCCAAGAUUGGUUCUAAAGGUGACAUAACCUUUUCCUGUUCUCUGAGUUCUUUUAUCAAAUAAAGAACCAAACCAAGGUAGGGCUCUUACGUGUAAACAAGGCAAUUUAUGCCUUAUGAUUUAAUAUACCCAUUUGUGCCACUUUGGCUUGCCUUAAUGCCAUGUGGCUGCCCCAAAAAGGAUCAUUAUCUACUUAAUUAGUUGGAUAAUAUUUUGUUAUCCGAUAACUAACUAAUUACCUGCAUAAUUAAGAAUUGCCUCAAAUUACUUAAAAUUCUACUCAUUUUUAAUAUACCUUGUACAUCUUACUAUCAUGGUCAUGUGGUACCUUAUAUGACACUAGUCCACAAAUAUCGGGUAUUAAUGCUCGCCCCGUAUUUUAUCCCAGUAUGCCAAACUUGGACGAAAAAUUCAUUUUCUUUUACUUGCUUUCCCUCUCACUAUCACGAAUUUACUCAUCAUUUGUUUAAAAAUACCAUAAUCCAUGUAAUCUCCAAAUAAUCCUUUUCCUUGGACUAAUGUCAAUUUCCUUACGACAAAUUCAACAUACAAUACUACCGGGUGCAACAUCGUCGUAAUUUAAUACUGUGAACAUAGCAUUGUAAUAUCGAUGUAAUAUUGCGGACGUAACAUCAUUCCCCCCUUUGGAACAUUCGUCCUCGAAUGUUGACUAAUGCUUUUAUUAUUCUCAUAACCCACAAGUGUUGCGAAUACUUUAGUACUCGUCUUGCCAUCUAGGCGACUGUUCUGUGAAUGAAUCGCAAAGGCCAGGGCAUUCCUCCCUUUAAGCCUCUUUCUCACACCACGAUUUGUAGUCGGAAUCCUUCUAAUCUCAUAACUGUUGCUACCUUCUAUCAUGUAGCCUUUACGACCCUAAUUUGUAUGUGCGCCUGACUCUUCUCUUCUCCUCCAUCUUUUAGCCAAUCUCCAGGCUUCACUUUGUGAACAUAUAAUAAAUUAUGUCAAGUUGUCCCUCUGGGCGCCAUUACCUUUAUUACAUCUAAGUAGGCCAUAUUAUACCAAAAUUCUUACUUUGAUUUAUCGUUACCGAGGUCUACUACCGAACUCCAGGUUACUCUUGUUGCUUAUCUUUUAUGCAUAAAGCUAAAUCUUUUAACGUUUCUUCAUUACUAUUCAUCUUAUGACUGAUGGCUCAGUCUCAUCUCGUACUUUGCAAUUUUUACCCAUCGAUUGUUGAUUCACCUCAAUAUUUAUCUACAAUCAUCCACUGAUAACUUGAAAUUUCUUACGUAAUAUAUUGCCACUAGGGCUUAUAUUACUUGCAUCAUGGAAUAUUUGAAGUGAUUUUUCUGAUCCACCUUGGUGACAGUACUAUACUUCCAUAACCAUAUUUCCUAGCAUUCCAAUGUGAUUCAAUUACGUGAGUAUUUUAAUCCAUUCCAAUUCAUGAAAUCCCUUUCUUUUUUUCUUUUUUUUUCGUCAGACCAUUACUCAAUCGAAGGCCCAAACAUCGUCCUUUAUCUAUCAUAAUCACACCCCCAUUCUACAACAUUCCAUCUCUUCUAAAUGCCAUUAGUUUUAGACUUCUUUAAGUUCAUUCAUUCUAUAGUGAGCUUUGUAUAACUUAGAGAAACCAUUUGCUCUUCUUGUUUUUACGGGCUUAAUCCUAAGGACUUAUCCAUUUUUGUUACCUUCUCAGUCGCCCUUUCUUAUCCUUACUCAUGUAUUCUAAAACCUUGUCGCUUUACCGUAUAAUAGCUUGCGACCUACACAUAUCUAUUUAUAUUACUUGCAACCUUUUAACUUGAUUGCAUCAUAGAUUUCCUUAUGUCUUUCUAGAAUAUCAAGAGAGACAUCACAUCGUCUCUAACUGUUCUUUAUUCUCUUAAUCAGGCUUCUCGAUACCUAGACUAUAGGCUGGAGGGUAUGCUAUUGACGAUGCCGCUAUUAUUCCUAGAUAUUGAAUCCCCGCACUACUAGCCUUCUAUCCAAAGUAAGGACUAUUCACAACCUUCUAUAUUUGAGUAUCUCGUACGUUGUUCACCUUUACCUUACUUAUCUUAAAGUCUCACAUCAUAUCCUUUAUCUCUUUCAUGACCUCCCUUUCACAUAGGUAUAAUCACAUCCACAACUUGAAGCUCUCUUAUAAUACUUGCACAUCUAGUGCAUACACAAUCUGGUGACAGCUCCAUACUGGUACUCUUCUAACUAUCUCUAUUGUAGAGCCGUUAUAGAAUAUGGCUACUGUACUAUUUCUCUUGUACCUCUGAUAUUAAGAUUGAUUCUACAAUGUUCUCAAUCAUGAUGUUUGUAACUUUCUGGGUCCAAUAAUCAGACUCCUAAGUUACUUAGUUGAUUUAAUUCUUUAGUUACCUCUUUCUUCUGAUUAGUCUUUAUGUAGGCUCAAGCUAUCUUCCGAUAUGUGGCUCACGACAUUUAGUUAUUACUUUAGCCUUUUAUGGAUGCUAUGGAAAACUAUGAUAUAGUCUUCUAAUGAUUCAAUCCUUUGUCUAUGACCUAGACCCAAUUCCUUCUUUUAGCUUAUAUUGGAGUCUUCUACGGCUGAUCAUUAAUCGAAUAAUUCCUUUCGUUCCAUUUCAGCUUUCUUCAAAUGUAAGCAACUGCUCUUCCUGAUUUUUCCCCCCCUUUUACGUGCAUACUUAGCUUAUCUGAGUUCUUACACAUGUUGAAGUUUUUUUGCAACUCAUAUGGUCUCGAAUAUUACUUUUGGUUUUACUCCCCGGUCAUUAGCCAUGAUAGGCGCAACUUUCUUUUGGAGUGCAUACAAUUUUGUAGUUAAACUGUUGUUACACAACCCUUUCCUCUUUAGGUCACUGUGAUUUGGUUGAAGCGUUCUUCCUUAUUUCCUCAACUAGUCUUUCAUUGUGGUACUUAGGGGGGGGGGAUCCUCUGACUCUUGUAAGGCUGCGAGUUUAUCACAUCGUAUGCCUGGCAGAAUUUUUUAUGUUCUUCCCUGCCUAUAAUUACCCGUAGUUACUUAUCUACACGCCCUUGUGCUUGUAGGGUUACUCCUGAACUAAUAUUUUGACUGUCUUCUCGGUGGCACUUCCUUUUAUUUCCGUAACACUCAUACGGUACCUUUUUAACUUCCCCAACUCCUAUAUGGAUAUUUUUCAAGGAUCACGAUGUCAUAUUGUGAGGCUGAAUUCCCCAUAUUGGGGUUCCCUAUGUUUAUCUUGCAUGAUCUAUUGAUUUAUCUGUAUUCUCUUGUCUAGCCAUAGCUAGACUCUUUUUGAAUCAACUACUAAUUGCUUGUUGGCCCAUCCCCGUAUCAAUAUUCCGCGUAAUCUUUCUUGGGUCAUUUCCUUUGUCUUAGCUUACCUCUCACACUCGCUCCUUAUUAAUCAAUAAUAUCUCGGGCAGGAACCCUUAUUUCCUCUCCCUGACGCUAUAUUUGCAUAAUGCUCUGGUAUCUUAGCAUAUCUGUAGGCUUUGAAUAAGUGCAAUCUCAUCCCCUUUUCAUCUUAUCACAUUCUUCUUUUACCAUUCUAUAAUUAUUAGAACCACUUAAUUCUGACAUAAUAUCAUGUCAUUCCAUAUUCCCCCCUUUAGGGGAGUACUAAGAUUUGGAGCUACGACAAUCUACCUAUAGAUGUUCUAUCUCUUUAUUUUUGGCGUCAUUUCACAUCAUCGAUAAAGCUUACUCUCCUUCUGGUAAUCCUUCUGUACUAAGGAUAAUAAAAUUACUUACUCGCUAGGUAACAAUUAGUAUAACUGACACAUACAGUCUCCUAAGCUUAAUUUUGCUCACAUUGCUUACUUUACGUCUUCUUGAAUGACCCUCCUCUGAAUUUCUCAUGAUUCUUCUUCUGCUGUCCAUUCUAUUAUUGCCGGUAUGAAAUUUGAAAUUCUCAUGAUGUUGACCAUUAUCAAAUCACUAAAUCCCUAAUUCAUGUUUACUUUAUCUUGUUCACCAACCCAUACUGAUCUCUAUUAUUCUGGGGUCUAGCUUUUUCUAUCGGUAAUCAUGUUAGAGUCACGAACUUACUUCUUGAAAUGAGGAUAUAGCUUCAUGGCCUAUACUCUUUUAUUUUCUUGAGGCUUAUCACCUCUCGUCUCAUCAUUCACCUGACUAUGGACCCGGUAAUACCGUCAUCUUUUUGAUCUACCGUUAUCAUCCAUGUAUUGCAUCUUACUCAUAAUUCUUGCUUAUCUCUCUUCUUAUUACUCUGCUAAUAUUUCUGCCUAUCCUUUUCUUGUGAAAACUUUAGCAAGACAUUCUUUUGCUUUUUGCUCCCCUUGCUUUAUCCAUUGGCUUUUUGGGUUGCUCAACGUCCUUGCUCUACUAGGGACAAGAGUUACACUAAGGUAAUAUUUAUCCCUUCCAGGUUUUUAGUGCCUAUCUUCUGAAUAUUUUUUUUGAUCAUGCUAGUAUUCACAUCUAAUUGUAAUAUUCUAGAGUGCACCAUCUAGGUGUCUCACAAGAAGAUCUAUUAGCACAUUUGUAAUACCCCUCGAAAAUGUUAACUAACACAAACAAUCCAUUCACCAUUUUGGGUUACUCUAACCCCAGCCAGAUCCUGAUGUUCCAUCCUUUUCUUAAACUGCACCUGUUAGGCCCUAUAGGGCAUAACUAAGAUGGGUACGGCCAAUUGUGUAUACCUCUGUUACUGUUGAAUAUAACUAAAAAAAGCUUAUAUUCCUCUACCUGAAUUAUAAACACCGUUAACCUUCAUUAACUGGGCACCUCGUACUCUUCUUCAUCUUACUUCUUUUGUUUGUUGAAACUUGUAUUUAUCUUCUGAAUCUCUCAUUGUCUUUCACUAUUAAGGUAGAUAGGUAUUCUUGCCUCAAGACACCUUAUCAAGAGGCUUACACCUUUAGUACGCACAUGAUCUGCUGAAGAACUCACAUUUACUUAUCAUAAGCAUGAUGCAGAAUCGAGUUCCUCUGACGCAACACUUCCACAUCUAUAUCCCUUACCGACCGUCUUUCUGAAGGUAGGUAUCAUUGUAUUACGAAUAAGAUAGAGUUUAGGAAAUUGAGUUCUUACAACUGAGCUCUACCAUACGAUCUAGAGUAAGAAGAAAAGGUGACAAUCCUAAAUGCCCUGUAGCCUCCUGCUUAUAAGUGUGGUGCACGACAUACCCAUAAACAAAACUCUACUAGACAUAGCUUGUAGACUCCCUAGGACAGAACUGCUCUGAUACUACUUUUGUCACGACCCAAACCGAUGGACCGCGACAGGCACCUGGUACCUUACUCAAUCUAGUACUAAUAUAACGUAUCUUUCAUAUCAUUCUAUCAUAGGUAAAUGAACCAGAGUAAAGCAUAAGGGAAUACAAAGUUAUGCAUAUGAAGUACAGUUCUAUAAGGAUAACAUGAUUCUUUAUGUACUCGAAACAUAGGCCGACAAGGCCAUACAAGUAUCCGUAUACAUAUCUGCCUACAAGCCUCUAAGAAUAUAUAAUAUCAUAAAGGUGGGGACAGAGUCCCGCCAUACCAAUCAAUACAUGUACUAAUCAAACUGACCAAAGAAGAAACUCUGGAGCAAAUGGAGCGCACCAACACUUUCCGCUGAGCUGAUAACCUACUUGGAGGACUCUUAUCCUGUCUAUCAAGACCUGCAGGCAUGAAACGAAGCAUCCCCAGGCAAAAGGGAGGUCAGUACAAAUAAUGUACCAAGUGUGUAAGGAAUGAAAAUCAGUAACUAGUAGACAUGAGAGAAACAUGGAGUGAAAGACUCAACAUGUAUAUCUGAAUAAGUUUGUGAAUCAUUUAAUAUUAUAAUGCCGUGCAUAUGCGAAUAAAUGUCAUACCAUGCAUGGGUAUAUGCAUUCAUAACUUCGUCAAGCCUCUAAGGGCAUCUCAUCAUAUUAUUUUGGCCACUGUGGGCAAAUCAUCAAUGUAUACCAGAUGAUCAGGUGGUGGUGCGUAUAUAACGCCGUAACCUUUUCCCAUAUCCCGUGUACAUAUAUNNNNNNNNNNNNNNNNNNNNNNNNNNNNNNNNNNNNNNNNNNNNNNNNNNNNNNNNNNNNNNNNNNNNNNNNNNNNNNNNNNNNNNNNNNNNNNNNNGUUAUGGGUCAAUGUACAUGAAUGCAAUGCAUGAAAAGUACGUCAAUAAAAUUUCCUGGAGUGUCAUAAGUUCAUUAUGCCUUUGAAUAAUAUCAUGAAGAAAACUUUUUUAACUUACGUAUUUUUCUGAGACCCAUGAACAGAUGAUAGAAUAAUAUGAUACAUGGGGAAUCAAACAUAAGCAUCUCUAAUAUUCUAUGAAUAGAGUAAUGUAUGGAAAUUGUGCAUUUUCACGUUUCGUUCGUAUCAUAUGGAUCAUGCCAAAAGAAAGAAGGGAUAGCCUUAACAUACCUGAGUCGAUUCUCUUGACAAUCCCUCUAACACACGUCAAUUGCGACAAAACACAUAACGGCGGAUCGAGUAGGAAAAAAUUCGUAUGAUAUUCUUGGGAAAGAUUGCACCGUACUCCCUUAGAAUCGCAAAAUCCCGUUGUUAUAACAUUACGUAGUAUAAUUUCGUAUGAAGAUUUCUUGGCUGAAGAUCCUUUACAUUUGUAAUGUAGAACACCUCCAUUUUGGUGAAUUUGAUCCAAAUUUUGGAUGGCUUUUCCUUGCUGAAGCAAGUCACGCUUUCCAUCUCAUAUAUUUGUAAAUUUAAGACUUUAACGGCUUAGCCAAGAUUCUUUCUAAAGGUGACAACCUUUUCCUAUUCUCUAAGUUCUUUUAUCAAAUAAAGAACCAAACCAAGGUAGGGCUCUUACGUGUAAACAAGGCAAUGUAUGCCUUGUGACUCAUCAUACCCAUUUGUGCCACUUUGUGCUUGCCUUAAUGCCAUGUGGCUGCCCCAAAAGGAUCAUUAUUCACUUAAUUAGUUGGGUAAUAUUCCAUUACCCAGUAAUUAUUCAAUUACCUGCAUAAUUAAGAAUUGCCUCAAAUUACUUAAAAUUCUACUCAUUUUUAAUAUACCUUGUACAUCUUACUAUCAUGGUCAUGUAGUACCUUGUAUGGCACUAGUCCAUAAAUAUUAGGUAUUAAUGCUCGGCCCUUAUUUUAUCCCAAUAUGCCAAACUUGGACAAAAAAUUCAUUUUCUUUGACUUGAUUCCCCUUUCACCAUCACGAAUUUACUCAUCAUUUGUUUAAAAAUACCAUAAUCUUUGUAAUCUCCAAAUAAUCCUUUUUCUUGGACUAAUGUCAAUUAUCUUAUGAUAAAUUCAAUGUACAAUACUACCGGGUGCAACAUCAUCGUAAUUUAAUACUGCAAAACAUAGCACUGUAAUAUCGAUGUAAUAUUGCGGGGCGUAACACCAACAAAAAGCCUAAUUUCCUAAUAACCCUAAGCUUUAAGACCCCUGAUCUGAUCUUCUUCAUAAAAAACCUUAAGAGACCUUGAACACCCCGAAGCUUGCGGCGGCCUUUGGAGAAUUGAUCAAUUCUCUCAAUUUUGAGAGCUGUGAUUGAGAUACAGAGAACAUAAAAAACCAGCGACCUCACACCAACCAAUGACCCCUUCUUCUUGACCCCCUGAAACUCUUUAUUCCUACACAAAAACCAGAUGCCACUAGCCAUACACCCCACCUCAACGAACUCCAGCAGCGACGACUAACUUUCACUCGCCAGAAGCAAUGCCCACUCAAAUCUGACCACACACAGAUACACAGAGAAAGAAGACGAGGGAUUUUGGUUUCUGAAUUUUCCUUUUCUGAUUUAAUGUUCUAGUUUAGAUAUAAAGAAUCAGCUCUAUUAGAUUUCACAAUAAAAAAUACAAAAAAAUACUUUGGUUUCUUCUGUUGAUUUCGAUUUCAAAGAUGGAGUUAGUUUGAAGUAUUUGAUCCGGAGUUCCGUCUGAAGUUCGAAUCUGCCGACGAGAACAUUUCUACUUCUUCAUUUGGUUUUGAUUUUUGGCUUUCGAGUAUGUGAAUGAAGUUAAGUCGAGGUUGAUUUGAGUUCGUCGCCGAUGAUAGAUUUCCGGUGCCGAUUCGAGUUCCCGUCCGCGAUUCGUCAUAUUUUCGAUUUCAAAACCGUGAAUCAAUCAAAUUUCAGAUUCAUUGAGGUCUAUUUCUUCCUUUCCUCUUCUGUUUUUGCUUAAUAUCAUGUUUUCACUAGUUCGCUAAUUUGUCGUUGCCCUAUUUUGCUAAAUAUUAAAUUGAUGCCGUUUUGCUCUGUUUUCGGAUGCCUUGGCUAUAUUUGUUUACUCCAUUCUUUUGCAGAUCAUUGUUUGUAUAUUUUUUUAGUUUAAUCCGUUUGGAUUGGUUUUGAUGGCUAGAAUAAGUUUUUUUGAUUCCAUGCUUUCUUGCUUCAUUAAGAGAUAAUUAUUUUAGGCUUCACAAUUAAUACUUUGAUAACAAAAUAGUUAAGUCAACGAAAUUGAGUAGAUUAAUUAAUUGCUUGGAUGUUUGAAG